AACAUGCUGCUGAACCUUUAUGUUGUCUGAAUUGAGUAAUUUCUACAUUUAUUUCCUUCAUAUAUGAUGAGAAUUCUUCUUGUUUGGGAAUCGACAGUUGAUAAUAAUUUACUUCUGUAUUAGGACUGUAUAAAGGCUCUUCGGAGGUUCCCAGAGAGCAAAAGAGUUGUCAAUAUAAGCUUAAAGGCAGGCUGGAGGCAAUGUUGCUUGAAGCAAACUGGUCCUGGGACAAUGGCAGAAAAGGCUUACACAAGCCUUUUAGAGGAUAAUCCUCUUGAUCAAGUAAACUCACUUAACCUUAUUGGGGAAAAAUUGGGAGAGGGACUGUCAGUUAGUUGACCAGUUACGUUAUGUGAUGAAACAUAAAUCUUACCAUAAUAACCUUUUUUUUUUUUGUGUUUGUCUUGCCAAUUUCACUUGAUAUAUGACAUUCUUUCACUUUAACCUUUAAAAACGGCCUGGCUGGUUGAGUAAUGAAAACCAAAAAGGGGCAACCGUAUGCUGAAGAGCUCCCACCAUAGUGGGAGUUAGGGGGAGGGUUGGACUUCAUUUGCCAAAUUCUUUACAGAUCAUCCAUAAAGAGGAGGGUGGCUAUGGUAAAGGCACAAGGCAAUAUUUCUGGGACUAUUGAAUGGCUUAAUAAAUAUCUGGAAAUGUAAGACAGCUGUUGAUAUUUUUUCCUUCUGAAAUUGAGGAUAAAAGGAAAGUAUUGUUUAUAAUUUACAUCAGAUAGAAGUGAAGAACAUACAUCUGAACUAUUUAUCUCACUUUCACAGAUUCAUGGCAGAUCACGAUGCAUGGAGGGAACUGGCUGAAAUAUACUUAUCGAAAAACAUUAUCUUGACUUAAAUGAUAUUGUUAGGUACUUUAUACGCUUGGCGGGUUAGAAAACGUCCAAACUGCCAAGAAAUACUAUGCAUUGACUAUUGACUUAACUGGAGGCAAGAAUACCAGAGCACUCUUUGGUAUAUGCUUGGCUUGUGCACUUCUGCUAUUGCACAACUUACAAAAGGGAAGAACAAGUAAGAUAAAGAAGGAUCGCAGUUACAAUCUCUAGCGGCCAAAGCGUUGGAGAAGGAGUACAAGCAGAGAGCUCCUGAGUCCUGACAAGCUUCCUCAUAUCUUACAACUGCCUUGAAGAGUUUAACAUUAUCAUCAUGAUGCAGCAUUUCUUAAAUAUAUUGUUAUUUAACCAACUUUUUGGCACUUUCUUAGAUCAAUAUACUAGCAUGAAUCAACAUAUUUAGAAUUCCUCAUUUAUUUUCUUUUCAAUAUUAAAAUGAGAAUUCAUUUUGUUCUG